AAAAAAAUAGUUUUCUUUCUUUCUCCCUCUGCCUUUCCAUUUUUAUACGGAGCCCAGCUUUUGUUCGUCUCUCUUUUUCCUCUCUCCUGUCAUCGCUUUGUUUUCCUUCUAAUCUCUCUGACUUUUUAUUUACUAUUUAGAUCCAUCGUGUCCGUUUUAGGGUUUUAAUAUCACCACUCUCUUCAAUCGUCUCCUACGAUCCGAUUCUCCUUUUUCACUACCCUGUCGUUACAGAAAUCGUUCAAUACCGUUUGGUGAUAAGUUCGUCCUUGUUUUGAAUUUCCAAUCCACUAGCCACUUGCAUUUCGUUUCGUUGACUUGGAAUCUCGCUGUUCAGAGGAUUAAACCGGAGUAUAAGAAAUUAAUUGUAGGAUUUAGGUGCCCCAUUU
rnacentral:misc_RNA from 1 species